rnacentral:rRNA from 1 species
UACGGAAGGCAGCAGGGGGAAUAUUGCACAAUGGGCGCAAGCCUGAUGCAGCCAUGCCGCGUGUAUGAAGAAGGCCUUCGGGUUGUAAAGUACUUUCAGCGGGGAGGAAGGCGAUGCGGUUAAUAACCGCGUCGAUUGACGUUACCCGCAGAAGAAGCACCGGCUAACUCCGUGCCAGCAGCCGCGGUAAUACGGAGGGUGCAAGCGUUAAUCGGAAUUACUGGGCGUAAAGCGCACGCAGGCGGUCUGUUAAGUCAGAUGUGAAAUCCCCGGGCUUAACCUGGGAACUGCAUUUUGAAACUGGCAGGCUUGAGUCUUGUAGAGGGGGUUAGAAUUCCAGGUGUAGCGGUGAAAUGCGUAGAGAUCUGGAGGAAUACCGGUGGCGAAGGCGGCCCCUGGGACAAAGCUGACGCUCAGGGUGCGAAAGCGUGGGGAGCGAAACAGGGAUUAGAUACC